CUUCAGACUCAAUCUUUUCACCAGAUAUAUCUCCAGUUGAAUCUUUCUCAGCGUGUGAGGUUGGAAUUCAACCAGAAAGUUGUUUGUCAGUAAACAAUGAUACCUCUGAUACUAUUACAUGCACUCCCGCUACUGCAAUUUCUUUACCAAGAUACACAAGCACUCCAUACUCUAAGAUCAACCCAUCGAGGACUUCACAACUCAGGAAAUGCUAGCAACG
rnacentral:lncRNA from 1 species